rnacentral:lncRNA from 1 species
GCAUCUAAAAAAUGAAGGUAUAUUCAAAUUCUACAUUUGAAAACUUACUAAAAAGCUGCACUUAGAAACGUGAAAAUUUGCAAAAGCAAUGUUUUAUAUUUUCCAAUGAAACUGGAUUAAUCACGAUUGUAAGAUGAGAGUUUAAAAAACAGUUUUAAGAUGAAGCUAUUUGAAUUUUUAGUCUUUAUGUCCUUUAGUCAUUUUUAAAUUUAAAUGUAACUUUGUGUCCGUUGGGAAGAAGACACUCCAAUUUGUUUUUGAGGCACAACAGUUUUUCUCUAAGCAACAAUCGGUAUUAAUAUUCUGGGCACAAUAUUGUGACAGUUUUGAUCCAAUUUUGGGACAAAAUGUAGACGCAUGACAUAAUUGAAACAAUCAAACUAGGUACAAAGAAACUGAACUCUCAUCCGGUAUAAAAUGUUUAAGGAAGUUCGUAUCACAGUUUGAUAAAAGUAAAUUUGAGUAGAUGAGGUCAGAUAAGUUGUGCAGUAAAGUUUCGUGAUGCACUUCUUCGAGAAACGUUUCCAGUGAGAGGACUGAAAAUAGCGCGGGCAAUAAAAUGGUAAAAUUUUAGGAUGCUUAUUUAAAAGUAUCUGCUGAUUUUUUUUCACCGUGUGUUGUUUACUGUAAAAAAUAAUUGAUACCUUAAUUUUGAAGUAGUUUUACCAGCUUGACUCACAAUUGGCUAAACAAUUGUCACUGCUUAUAGCGGUGAUUGUAGCUCAUUAUCGGCCUUGAAUAUCAACUUUAAAUCGAGUUCUUUUUUGCUGAAUACAUGACUUGAGAAAAAUAAACCUAAGUGGCAUGCUUCUAAAAAACAGUGACACAUCCGGCGGUUCCCAGGCAUACCUCCAAGCAUUAGAAAACCUAACCUCUAACAAACGCACCCUCUUCCUCAACCUACUGAUGGAGGUGCACUCUAUUCUGCACCGAUGUCAAGUUCAAAACGAAAUGGAAAUGCUGAUCUCGGUGCACUCUAUUCUGCACCGAUGUCAAGUUCAAAACGAAAUGGAAAUGCUGAUCUCGCUGUACGGACCCAUCCAAGAUGCCCCCUCCGGUUUCUUGACUGUAGCGCAUGCUGCAGAACUACAGAUUGCAGGCGUUGGCACUCUGCGACGAAACAAAUUCGGCCAGAACUUGAGAAGGUAUCCGUCUAAGCCCUCCGGUUCAGAAACCACGAAACUGGAUGUGGUGAUCAUAACCAAGGAUGCUAGGGGCAUAAUAAUGGAGUUGAAGUUUGGAAGAACAAGUGCGUUUCAAGCGCUUCAGCAAAUCAUCGACCGUGCGUAUUACAAAGUGUUCGAGAAAGUGUACAAAGAGUAUAAAGUGCGGCGGACAAUUUUUGUGGGUGUAAGUUACAGUCUGAAGAAUGCAACAACGUUGAGUUACUUGUUCGACUCCAUGGAUUAUGCAGCCGCUCAGAAUGUAUCAUUAAGCCUCUAAAGAAAUUUGGAUCUUAAAAAUACUUUCAAGGGAAGUGAGGACAUGUGCUGACUCAGAAUUUUAACAUACUAAGUAUAAAAUUGUGAAAAAUAAAACCUGCUAAAAACGGUUACCGGUCAAAGAUGAUUAUUGCUUUCACAUACACACAGCGAAAAACAAUUCGGUCAUAUUAAUAAUCGCGAUUAUGGUGUCCUUAAUCGACCGCAUCAUUCGGUUCAUGUGACAGUAGUCUUAGUUAGAACUGUACUCUCUCUUCACGCAACUGAACUACAUCUACAAUUCAGUUUAGUUUGAACCGAAUUUUUCGGCCGAUGUAGAGGACCGUAUUUACGGAUCACAUGAUCCAGGCGUGCACGGACGUUUCCAAAUAAAACCACGAUUGUAAUUUUACUUCGUUUGGUAAUUUUCUCACAAAAAAAUACGCUUUCAGUCUGAAUUUACUGCCGCGUGCCUCUCCCAUUCAUCACCUCGAAAUUAUGAAAAAAAAAACUUUCAUCUUUCAUUGACGCAAUUGCCUUUUUUGCGGGCUCUUAAAGAUUCCCCGUAAAAAAUCCUCUCCAGCUGUUGCAGGAACAUUCUCAUUAAGUUAAGCAACGAUCACUCGAUAGUACCACCAUCACGCAAUCCGCGCAUUAGGUACCGCAAUCUCAUCACAAUCUCAAUCAACUCGCUGCUAGUGCUGACUGUUGUUGGCCCUCCACGACACCUCGAUACCCCCUACCCCCUCUCCUUUUAAGGAUCCCAUUCCACUUCAACCCUGGCCGCACUUUUUUCCUCGACGCCACUCGCGACUACGUUUAAUCGACUCAAACGCCCGGGAGAAAUUUUCGAAUCGAAUUAUAUUGAAGUGCCAUUAAGAGCCCGUUACGACCGGUUGGCGGAUCACCCGACAGGUAGCGCUGCUGCUGAGACUCGGGUGUGGGUAAAAAGGAUAAAAUGUGGGAUGAAGAGGAGCUAAUGUAAAAUCUAGAGGAAAGUAUGCCUUAAGUAUGCUUGGAUGGCUCUCGGAUGUUUGGUGUUUUGAUGCACCUUUAUAGUUGGACUGCGUUAAGCAGGAAGGAGCCAAGCCAUAUUAGCUUCUGCCAAAUUUAAAUGGGCAAUUUAAUUUUUUUCAAGAGAACGUUUUUGCGGAUUCUUUGGGAACUUUUAAGAAAUUUGCUUCGUAAUAUAAAGAAAACUCCCUGAACUAUGUACAAAAAUCUGCACAACCGUUUUCAUGUAAAAAAUUAAAUUGCCCAGUUAAAUUUGGCAAUAGCUGAUGUGGCUUGGUUCCUUUCUGCUUAACGCGGCCCAUUUAUAAUAUUCUGGGGCCGCGAAGUGAGGAGGUUGGAUUUUGAUACACUGAUCUGGUGGCUGUUCGUUUAUCAAUUUUUUAAACCAACAAAAUGUGAAUUGGAGCACAUUCUUUCGUUUUCAUUUCAUUUCCUUUUUUUAAACAUUUUAGUGUUUUCAUUAGAGCUCUGUGCUGUAAAUAAAGAUCCUAUGACCUUCACCAAUUUUAAAAAGCAAAGCUCCUUCCUCUUCUUUUUUACCCCUCCUUUCUCCAUGAUUAGAUAAUCAUAAUGGAAAGAAUGAUGAGGAAAUCGUCCAAGGAAUUAAUUAACUCAGAGGCCACGAUCUGUGUCUAAGCUGCUUUCUCCAGCUGAAUUGAAUCGCAACUGUUACCCUCUAAACGGAUAUUGCUUUCGAUAAAUUUGUAUAUUUUAUUGAAUAUAACUUCCUCAUUCAAUGUGUUCGAAUUAAAUCGUCAUCUGAUCCAUUUUUUAAACUGAAAAAAAGAAAGAAAUAAGCCGUGACUAAUUUUAGCAUGACCUGUUCAUGAUGGAACUGAAGGGUCUUGUUUUUAAAGAACCAAACGAAAUUUUUCUAAGGCUUUUUUUUAAAAAACAAAUCAGAAAAAAUGUCUAAUUGCUAAACACUGAUAAAAAUAGCUUAAGACCAUACGCUCGGUUUAUUAUUUUAUCAUCGUUAUACUUAAAUAUACCGGGCUGAUAUCCAUGUUGCUUCGGUUAUAGGCACAGAUGGAUUGCAUUUUGCAAAAAGGAACCAGGAGCAUUGCAAUGUUGCUAAGAUUGUGCGACUUUUUUUGUCUUGGGAGAUAAACCUGAUUAUCUAAUAACAGUUUCUAUUGUAGGUACUUGCUAAAAACUGUAAAUUUAAGACAAAAAUUACCAUGUGAAUUUCAGAUUUUUUCAUGAUUUCAGUAAUUUUAUUGCAAAGGAUGAAGUUGCACAAUCUUAGCCUCAUUACAUUGCUUCUGGUUCUUUUUUGCAAAAUGCAAUCCAUAUAAUUAUACAUCUAUAGAUAAGGCAUCUUCCAUAUUUUCAAAUUGUGGUUUAGGUUCCUUUUGUCACAACACAGCUCCUGAAGGCGUAAAGCGCACGCCCUGGUGACAUUUUACAUCCCAAAAGUGACAUUUUCCAGGAGCGAAAAGAGUCAAUUGGCAACAUCGCAGUAACAUACGUCACCGUGUCUCCAUUACCACCCCCUGCGGUUUCCGAAGUGUUGCAUUCGAAGGAAAACAUGCUUAAAAGGUAUCCGAGGUUUGUCGUCGGAGCACCGAAGCUUGAUUUUAUAUUACCAGGAGGGGUUGCGAAGAAGCUUGAGGGUGCUGAAAGUUAUCUGGAGAGGGUCACUGUUGCAGUAAGGGUAGCUAACUCAAUGAUCUACACACAACAAAAUUAAGCUACUGCUCGCCGCAAGCCCAUAUACCCUCCUUCGUGGAAAAAUUGACAAAUUUAUGCAAUGAGGAGGGUUGUAUGGUUAGGGGGUGUUACUCGAGCUUAUGCUAGUGUAAGAGACCAAAAACAGAUUUUGCUUUUAGGGGAAGGAUAUAUAUAUGAUGCCUAUAGAUGUCAGCUACGUUCAACAGUUAGAGUUUAUAUUAGGGUUUAUUAUGAUGCAUUUUUCAAUAUUAAAUAGCUCUGAAUACGAGUAAAUUAUCAAAAAAAUUAGAUUGUAAACAUAUUAUUAAAGAAAGAAGAUUUUUUUCGUCCU